AACAAGGAUUCCCCUAGUAACGGCGAGUGAACCGGGAAGAGCUCAAAUUUGUAAUCUGGCCCUUGGGUCCGAGUUGUAAUCUAUAGAGGCGUUUUCCGCGCCGGACCGUGUCCAAGUCCCUUGGAAUAGGGUAUCAAAGAGGGUGACAAUCCCGUACUUGACACGACGACCGGUGCUAUGUGAUACGUCUUCGACGAGUCGAGUUGUUUGGGAAUGCAGCUCAAAAUGGGUGGUAAAUUCCAUCUAAAGCUAAAUAUUGGCGAGAGACCGAUAGCGAACAAGUACCGUGAGGGAAAGAUGAAAAGCACUUUGGAAAGAGAGUUAAACAGUACGUGAAAUUGUUAAAAGGGAAACGAUUGAAGUCAGUCGUGUCGGUCGGAUUCAGCCUGGUCUCCAGGUGUAUUUCCUUCCGACGGGUCAACAUCAGUUUGGAUCGGCGGAUAAAGAUGGAGGGAAGGUGGCACCUUCGGGUGUGUUAUAGCCCUCUGUUGCAUACGCUGGUCUGGACUGAGGCAUGCAGCUCGCCUUUAUGGCCGGGUUCGCCCACGUUCGAGCUUAGGAA
rnacentral:rRNA from 1 species